UACGGAGGGGGCUAGCGUUGUUCGGAAUUACUGGGCGUAAAGGGCGCGCAGGCGGCUGCUCAAGUCAGGCGUGAAAGGCCUGGGCUCAACCCGGGAAUUGCGCUUGAGACUGGGCUGGCUUGAGUGCGGGAGAGGAUGGUGGAAUUCCCAGUGUAGAGGUGAAAUGCGUAGAGAUGGGGGAGAACACUCGUGGCGAAGGCGGCCAGCUAGACCAGUUCUGACACUGAGGCGCGACAGCGUGGGGAGCAAACAGG
rnacentral:rRNA from 1 species